GGGUCAGUAGGUUGGUCGUGCCACCGGUACGUACUGGUCUCACUGAUUCCUCCUUCCUGAAGAACCGUAAUGCCAUUAAUUUGGUGUUGCGGGGAAACAGGACUGUUACUUUGAGAAAAUUAGAGUGUUUAAAGCUAGCUAACGCUUGAAUACAUUAGCAUGGAAUAAUGAAAUAGGACGAUCGAUCCUAUUUUGUUGGUUUCUAGGAUUGACGUA
rnacentral:rRNA from 1 species